UACGUAGGGGGCGAGCGUUGUCCGGAUUUAUUGGGCGUAAAGAGCUCGUAGGCGGUUCGAUAAGUCGGAUGUGAAAUCUCCACGCUCAACGUGGAGGGGCCAUUCGAUACUGUCGUGACUCGAGUCCGGUAGGGGAGUGUGGAAUUCCCGGUGUAGCGGUGAAAUGCGCAGAGAUCGGGAGGAACACCCGUAGCGAAGGCGGCACUCUGGGCCGGUACUGACGCUGAGACGCGAAAGCGUGGGGAGCGAACAGG
rnacentral:rRNA from 1 species